ACUGCCGUGUUCAAGUCAGUUGACAACGUCUAUCAACUUGCUUUCAGCCCUUCCUGUUUUGGUAUUAACAUGGAAAAAAUUCUGUAAAGAUGUGUAUUCCUCUAAAAUAAACCUAAAUCCUAAUACCAAAUGAACUGAUGCUAUAAAGUUAUGGAGUACUAUAUAUAUAAUAUUUAAAACAAUUCGCUGAUAUCUCUGAAGGUUACCUUAUACAUUCAAAAGUUUAAUAACUACCCACGGAAGUAGAAUUCAAAUUGACAGGCAAGGCAAUGAGUGACCGCGAUAACUUGGUGCCUAUUGCCGCAGGGCUCCUGGUAGGCGCCGGAGUCCUUGCCCUAAUCUAUAAAUUCUAUUUCACGGGCUGCCGAGGAAAUCUCAAAGACACCUACAACCAACAGCAGAGUGCCCCCUAUAAAUGUACUUGUAAAAAGAAUUCCAAGUCACCAACGCCUCCGAUUCGAUUUGGCUACACCUGGGAACCUAACCUGUAUCUGUUCGUUUUGAGCAUCUAGACAACCACCGCUACUACUGAGACAGAAGUGGGAUCCAACGAUCCCCUAUCGUUGCAUCUGUUAUGGACCAGUGUAAAAUUGCACAGGAAAGAAGGAGGUUUCCGUAAUAGAAAAAAGACAAUACCUAUAGAAGAAAAUAUUAUCCUGCCAGCUGUCAGCAGCUGUUCUAUAAGCGAUGUCCACGUCAAGUCUGUGCAAUGGACAAUUCUAAUUUACAACAAUAAUUAAAUAAAUAAAAAUAAUAAUAUGAACCGAAAAAUGGAUGUGAAAUAAAAUGAAAUUGAUGUUUUACGCCCAGCCUAAAUUAUGUGUGAUUGUUUGGAGGAAAGACAAAAAAGGGAAAAAGAAGCGAAAGAAGCGCAGGAUAAGAUCAGAGAGGCUGCAGCUGCGGCUAGAAAAGCGUCUUCGAAGUCUACAACUUCAGUUGCCUCCAGCGCAAGCACAUGUACAGCCACCUGCAAAUCGGCCGCAGGGCGCACCAGUGCCAGCACCGCACCCGCUGAGCCUCGCCCCAAGCCCCCAAUACAUGACUGUGUAAAUCCAAAGAAAAAGCCGCCUCCGCCACGCAGUCCCAUCUUCUUUUGGAUGGGCGUGCUUUUCGGAACAAUAUUGUUGUACUUUGGCUUUGCAUACCUACUCUGCACUUUGAAGGGGUUUGAUUGGAGGUCGCGUCUAGAGACCAUCCGCGCCAUCUUUUGUGAUCCUUGUGCCACCAUGGAGUUUGUGUAUGGUCUUUUAGCAGCUAUUCGCACACGCGUCGGGGGUGCGCUCGGCGGUUUAUUUGGAGGGAAGAAGAAAUCCGCUGUUUGUCGUCCAAAACCGCCAUCUCCUUGUUAAAAUGUCCAAGAUAAAUUACUACAACAGCGCUCCUUAUUUAUUCUGAUAAGUUAGCUAUUAAUUAAUAUGUCCUUUCCAUAUACCUGUCCAAAAUAAAAAUUAUACUAUUGUGUCCAUC